UCUAAAAAACAAAAAAAAAAAUAAAAAAUUCCUUCUGAAAUCUGGUUUCAGAAAGACAGAAACCCACUUCAUCUUCUCAAGUUCCUCCCUCCUGUUCGUAUCUCUCUCUCCCCCUGGAGCUCGGGCUCUCUCAUCUUUCUCACCGUGGCGUCGCCGUUGCUCUCUGUCUCGUCAUCGUCUUGCACAUAGUCGCGCGCCUUCGUUGCGCUCUUCGUCGCCGGCGGCAGAAGCAGCAGGUCCUGGGGCUCGUCGUCUUCUUGCUUCGAGUGUCGCCGUCAGCCUCCUUCGCGCAAUCAGAAGCUGCUUCAUGAUUUGGUGAGUUCUAACAAAGGUAGGAUUUUAUUGUUCCAAGUUAGUUGAAACUUGAAACCGUGACGCUGAUGUUUUCUUCCCUUUUCAUUGGAAUCAUCGAAACCAAAGCCACACACUGUUAAAACCAGUGUUCCUCCUUCGUAGUUUCCAUCAUUCAUUGCAAGUUUUUCUCCAUUUCCUCGCACACCAUUCUCCAUUCCUUCUUCGACCUCAUCGCCACAAAGAAUCCUUAUAUUCUCGCUCACCCACUUCGCUAGAUCACACUGUGAUUUGAGCUCAGCAGCUAAAAAAAUCGGUUUUUGAUUUGUGGGGUUUGUUCAAAAUGACGUCUUUCACCAUCCCUUGACCCAAGUGUCUCUCUUUUUCACAUUUGGGAUUGAACUCUCAGACCACACAACGGAACAUGCACGUGGCUGGGUUGGGAUUGAAGAAAUCCCAGUCAUUUGGAUCUUUGGUUUGUGAUUCAAACUCAAUUGGGGUUCAGCUGAAAAUGUCGCUAUAGAAUGUUCAAUUUUGAUUAUAUUCUAUCACCUUCAAUUUCGAUAGUGAAGGUUUGAAGCCUUGAUUUGAAGGUAAGAAGAGAUAGUUUUCAAAUUUAUUGGCUGGAUUAAGAAAUUUGGGUGCCGUGCUGGUAACUUGUUUCUUUUUUAGCAUUUAUCAGUUGCUAAUUAUUGUCUAUGUUCUCAUUUUAGCAAUUCUAUUGAAAAGUAGCAAAACCAGAAAUGAGCACUGUCUACAAAAGCAAAGCAUUUACAAAGUACUUAGUUGGAACAUGCAUAAUAUAAACACUAAACAACAAGAAACUCUCUCAGCUCAUAUUUGCUUGCAUUUGCAUGUCGGUUUUAUCUCAAUCAAUAUCUAAAAGGUAAAAACAUCAUGGUCUGGAUCUUCAGUGGUAAACAUAACAAGGUUGUUUUAUCUAAGUGGUAGUUUUAAUUUUACUAUAUAUUUGUAGGACUUGUGGCUUUUUGAGACUGAAAAUCGCAGUAACAAUAACUUCAACGCUGCCAGAAAACAGAAUAUAACACUGGAAAAUUGUUACACUAGACAAUAUAAAAUUAGAAUGGAAAAACAUCUUAGGUGGUUUGGCCAUGC